rnacentral:rRNA from 1 species
GACGAACGCUGGCGGCGUGCUUAACACAUGCAAGUCGAACGGAAAGGCCCUGCUUUUGUGGGGUGCUCGAGUGGCGAACGGGUGAGUAACACGUGAGUAACCUGCCCUUGACUUUGGGAUAACUUCAGGAAACUGGGGCUAAUACCGGAUAGGAGCUCCUGCUGCAUGGUGGGGGUUGGAAAGUUUCGGCGGUUGGGGAUGGACUCGCGGCUUAUCAGCUUGUUGGUGGGGUAGUGGCUUACCAAGGCUUUGACGGGUAGCCGGCCUGAGAGGGUGACCGGCCACAUUGGGACUGAGAUACGGCCCAGACUCCUACGGGAGGCAGCAGUGGGGAAUAUGGCACAAUGGGCGGAAGCCUGAUGCAGCAACGACGCGUGCGGGAUGACGGACUUCGGGUUGUAAACCGAUUUCGCCUGUGACGAAGCGUGAGUGACGGUAAUGGGUAAAGAAGCACCGGCUAACUACGUG